UCCGGUUUCGCGCAGCGGUCUCGCUAGAGAGAUUCAACUAGCGACGAGGGUUGCGCUCGUUGCGGGACUUAACCCAACACCUCACGACACGAGCUGACGACAGCCAUGCACCACCUGUGAUGGUGUCCCGAAGGAAGGAUGUGUUUCCACACCUGUCACCAACAUGUCAAACCCAGGUAAGGUUCUUCGCGUUGCGUCGAAUUAAGCCACAUGCUCCGCCGCUUGUGCGGGCCCCCGUCAAUUCCUUUGAGUUUUAGCCUUGCGGCCGUACUCCCCAGGCGGGGUGCUUAAUGCGUUAGCUUCGGCACGGACGGGGUCGAUAUCCGCCCACACCUAGCACCCAACGUUUACGGCUAGGACUAC
rnacentral:misc_RNA from 1 species